AACUUUUAACAAUGGAUCUCUUGGCUCUCGCAUCGAUGAAGAACGCAGCGAAACGCGAUAGGUAAUGUGAAUUGCAGAAUUCCGUGAAUCAUCGAAUCUUUGAACGCACAUUGCGCCUUCUGGUAUUCCGGUAGGCAUGCCUGUUUGAGCGUCAGCAAAACACCCUCGGUACUGUGUAUUUUCAUAUUCAGUGCCGGUCUUGGGCAGUGGAUGCCGGUGGUUAUUUCUUUCCACCUGCGCCCUCCCUAAACUUGCUGCACGACCGCAAGCCCCUUCUAGCCAGGUCAAUGGAGUGGUGUUACAAUCUUCCAAAAAGCCUGCUGGUAAACUGCUUUGCGGCGUUAAACCUUAACGCCUCCCCUCCGAGGGAGACUUGAAGUUUUGACCUCAGAUCAGACAAGGAUACCCGCUGAACUUAAGCAUAUCAAUAAGCGGAGGCU
rnacentral:misc_RNA from 1 species